AGAAGACUUUCCCAGGCACACAGCUAGUGAGUUUCUAAGGGGCUCACAUAUUAAAAUGCUAUUACACUGUUGGGAAAGUGGAGAAUAAGAGUCAUGCUGCAUCGCAAUCAAACCACAAGGUAUUUUUGUUUAGAGUUCUCUGGAGAGAGAGAGAGAGAGAGAGACAGACAGACAGACAGACAGAGAGAAAGAACAAAGAAGAGACAGAGAAGAGAGAAAAAAGAGAGAAGAGAGAAAAAAGAGGAGAGAGAAGAAAGAGAAAAGAGAGAAAAAAGGAGAAAGAAGUGAGAAAGAGAGAAGAAAGAAGCGAGAGACAGAGAGGAGAGAAGAAAGAGAAGAGAGAAAAGAGAGAAAAAGAGAGAGAACACGAGAGUGAUAUGGUGAAGAGUGGGGUGUAGAAGGAAGAUUGGAAGGCCACAAAGCCACUGGUAAAUGCAAGACCCCAAAGUAUAGCCUCUGUGUGUGUGUGUGUGUGUGUGUGUGUGUGUGUGUGUGUGUGUGUGUGUGCCUGGUCUUACCAGGAAAUGAAGUUUGGGAAACAAGGAUUUCAUAUCACAGGUAUUUAAAAAAAAUCUAUU
rnacentral:lncRNA from 1 species